rnacentral:rRNA from 1 species
AUUGAACGCUGGCGGCAUGCCUUACACAUGCAAGUCGAACGGCAGCACGGGAGCAAUCCUGGUGGCGAGUGGCGAACGGGUGAGUAAUACAUCGGAACGUGCCCAGUAGUGGGGGAUAACCCGGCGAAAGCCGGACUAAUACCGCAUACGACCUACGGGUGAAAGCAGGGGAUCGCAAGACCUUGCGCUAUUGGAGCGGCCGAUGUCAGAUUAGCUUGUUGGNGGGGUAAAAGCCACCAAGGCAACGAUCUGUAGCUGGUCUGAGAGGACGACCAGCCACACUGGGACUGAGACACGGCCCAGACUCCUACGGGAGGCAGCAGUGGGGAAUUUGGACAAUGGGCGCAAGCCUGAUCCAGCCAUGCCGCGUGCGGGAAGAAGGCCU